rnacentral:rRNA from 1 species
GACGAACGCUGGCGGCGUGCUUAACACAUGCAAGUCGAACGAAGAGCGACGGAAGCUUGCUUCUAUCAAUCUUAGUGGCGAACGGGUGAGUAACGCGUAAUCAACCUGCCCUUCAGAGGGGGACAACAGUUGGAAACGACUGCUAAUACCGCAUACGAUCUAAUCUCGGCAUCGAGGAUGGAUGAAAGGUGGCCUCUACAUGUAAGCUAUCACUGAAGGAGGGGAUUGCGUCUGAUUAGCUAGUUGGAGGGGUAACGGCCCACCAAGGCGAUGAUCAGUAGCCGGUCUGAGAGGAUGAACGGCCACAUUGGGACUGAGACACGGCCCAGACUCCUACGGGAGGCAGCAGUGGGGAAUCUUCCGCAAUGGACGAAAGUCUGACGGAGCAACGCCGCGGGAGGGAUGACGGCCGUCGGGUUGUAAAGCUCUGUUAAUCGGGACGAAAGGCCUUCUUGCGAAUAGUGAGAAGGAUUGACGGUACCGGAAUAGAAAGCCACGGCUAACUACGUG